rnacentral:rRNA from 1 species
AUUGAACGCUGGCGGUAUGCUUAACACAUGCAAGUCGAACGGUAGCAUGACUUAGCUUGCUAAGUUGAUGACGAGUGGCGAACGGGUGAGUAACGCGUAGGAAUAUGCCUUAAAGUGGGGGACAACUUGGGGAAACUCAAGCUAAUACCGCAUAAUUUCUUAGGAAAAAAGCUGGGGACCUUCAGGCCUGGCGCUUUAAGAUUAGCCUGCGUACGAUUAGCUAGUUGGUGAGGUAAAGGCUCACCAAGGCGACGAUCUGUAGCGGGUCUGAGAGGAUGAUCCGCCACACUGGGACUGAGACACGGCCCAGACUCCUACGGGAGGCAGCAGUGGGGAAUAUUGGACAAUGGGGGAAACCCUGAUCCAGCGACGCCGCGUGGGUGAAGAAGGCCUGCGGGUUGUAAAGCCCUUUCGGUAGGGACGAAAGCUCUCGACCUAACACGUCGGGAGGUUGACUUAACCUACAAAAGAAGCACCGGCUAACUCUGUGCCAGCCGCCGCCGUAACAC